rnacentral:rRNA from 1 species
GAUGAACGCUGGCGGCGUGCCUAAUACAUGCAAGUCGAGCGAACGGACGAGAAGCUUGCUUUUCUGAUGUUAGCGGCGGACGGGUGAGUAACACGUGUAUAACCUACCUAUAAGACUGGGAUAACUUCGGGAAACCGGAGCUAAUACCGUAUAAUCUUUUGAACCGCAUGGUUCAAUAGUGAAAGACGGUCUUGCUGUCACUUAUAGAUGGAUCCGCGCUGCAUUAGCUAGUUGUUAAGGUAACGGCUUACCAAGGCAACGAUGCAUAGCCGACCUGAGAGGGUGAUCGGCCACACUGGAACGGAGACACGGUCCAGACUACUACGGGAGGCAGCAGUAGGGAAUCUUACGCAAUGGGCGAAAGCAUGACGGAGCAACGGCGCGUGAGUGAUGAAGGUCUUCGGAUCGUAAAACUCUGUUAUUAGGGAAGAACAUAUGUGUAAGUAACUGUGCACAUCUUGACGGUAACUAAUCAGAAAGCAACGGCUAACUACGUG